UUUAUGCAUGGCUAUAAAGAAUUCAUCCACGGAGUACAAGUUACCCAACCAUCGAAGUCAGAAUUAGAGACCUAUUUGGAAGAGAAGGUUCAUCCAUUAGAAGAUCAAAAUUGUGACAUUCUACAGUAUUGGAAAUUCAAUGAAUCAAAAUAUCCAAUAUUGUCUAGGAUGGUACGUGAUAUCUUAGCAAUUUCUGUUUCUACCGUUGCAUCUGAGUCUGCCUUCAGCACUGCUGGCAGGGUUUUGGAUAAUUUUCGUAGCAGUCUAUCUCUGAAUACGGUUGAGGUAUUGAUAUGCGCACAAGAUUGGCUUCGAGAUAGCUUGCCUCAUCUUGCAGAUAUUCCACCUCCUCAUACAAAAUACAAGGUUGAAGAUUACGAAACUGUUGUUGAUAUUAAUACCGAUGAUUAGCUUAUGCUGGAUGGUGGUAAUCUAUCUUAA